AAGGCAGGGUUUUGGAAGCAAGAGUUUGCCUUUCCCGAAAACUAUAAAUAUUUCUAAACUCCCCCAAUUUUAAGCCCUAGAUACGAUUUCGCCUCCCUUGACCGUGACAUUCUGAUUGCAGCGAAAAUAAGCUCCUAACAGCCUCUAAAACCCUACUUUUCUUAUCAAUUACUCCUUCGAGUCUCAUUUCAAUCCAUGGAAUACUCACCUCUUAGGGAAGGAGAGCUUCGGGGAGAAGUGGAUAUGGCGUCUUUUCCUCCUCCUUGAUUUACUGAAACAAUUAAAGAUGGAAGCAGCACUGGUUUAGUUUGAAGUUGAGGGCCGCCUGUUUAUUGACGAUGGAUGCGGUGAAGUUUUCUCUUCCGGCGGUUGUGCCCGUGUCAAAGCUUUUGAAUGCUGAGGGUUUUAGCAGAGGUGGGGUUACUAAGGUUGAGGAAGCAGAAGUGCGGAAAGCUGAGUCUGGUUCCAUUCUUAGAACACCUUCUCCGGUUAACGGUUGGAUCUCUUCGUGUAGCCCUAAAGAUGUAAUGCGUGUUACUACUUCAGAACAAGAUUCAGCUUCCAGACAGAGAAAGGCUGAAGUUGAACUUUGUAGGGAUGAAAAGAAAAAUUCCAACUUUCUGGGUGAAAAUAUCACAGAACACUGUGGGAAUGUAAAUGCUCCUCUUUUCAUGUUGCCCAAGAGUGCAGGUAAACACUGUAAUCGAAAAUCAGGAAAAGGCGAGAGUACUAGCCCUUGCUUGAAGAGACAAAGAGCAGAUCAAUUUGAAGAUGCCAUGAACCAUGAUGGAGUUGAUGAUAGUAAUGUUAUAUCUGAGAUGCCUGGACCUAGUCAAGAAAAAUGCACCUUCUCUGGUAAGAAAUCUCGGGUUGUGAAACAGAAGCAUGGCCGUGAUGUCAAACGUGUUAAAGCAAAGAAUAAAUUUGACCCUUUCUUUCCAAAGGGUGGUCUUUUGAGCUCUAACUCAGCUGUAGGAGGGAACAACAUUCUAGGAAUAUAUGGUCUCAAGUCAGGUAUUCAUGAUGUUACAAAGCAUGUAGAUGAGCUGUCAUUGAAUGAGCUCCUUGAUGGCAGUUAUGAAUGUUCUAAUAUAUGCCAAGACAUAGGGAAGAAGGUAGCCGAUACAAAUGAAAACAUUCUACAUUCAGUCAGAAAGGCAUGCUUUAUACUUCAGCUCAAGAGACCUGUGCAGUCCCAAAAUUCUUUUGAGUUAGAUAGUGGUUCCAAUAGAAAUGCACCUUCAUGGUUAGUGAUCUCUGGUUCUUGCGGCACAAGCAGUAUGGACUGUGAUAAAGUGGUUAACAACACAGCAAAUUUCACUUCGCCGAGUGAGAUUCACUAUUCCUGUAGCAAGCGUGGACCUUCUGUCAAUGUUAACAAUUCCCCAUUACUUCAGCCUAAAGAUAUCCUGGAACGGUUAGCACUACCACCAGCCAAAGAUUUGGAUUCUCUCCUAUUGGAUUUGUCCAAGCUAGGAGUGUCUUCAAGGAGUUCUACAGAUCUACGUCCAAGCAAGCUAACAUCUAAGAGAGUUGGCUUGCCCCCUUUUUCUUGGUCACAUUCUAUUGGUGUGCCAUGCAAAACCAAUGCUGAUGUGGGCAAGCUGGGUACAACCAGGAGCACAAGUCAAGGUCGAUGGGUAAGGAUAGGAAGUGCUGCCAGCUCUCUUGGGAAUGCCUGUGGUGGUUUUUCAGAUUUGGAUUCAUUGACUUACGAUCUCAGUUUAAUUCCUUCAAGAGGACUAAAGCUGGGUCUUUCUGAAGAUGAAAAAGUACCCUCAGUGCAUUUUAAACCUCCUUGGCAAGAGCCAUUAUCAUCUACUACAAGAUUUUAUCCAGCUUCUCAUAUUUCAGAAGCUGAACAGGAUAUGAAGUAUCAGGGAAAUGGUGACAUCUUAAAGGACAAUUUUGUUAAAAAAGAGCAGUCCAAAAUUAAAAGCGAUGAUGGUUGUACUAAUAAUUGCUACUGUUCUCCAUCAAAAUCUGCUGUUGGUGACUGCAAUGGACUUUUGUCAAAUUCACUUAUGCCAGAAAACUCGAAGCAAGCUGUACAUUGUCCAAGACUACUGGCUGCUGCUCAAAUACUCUGUGAGAUAGCAAGUGAUUUCAGGAAACAAAUCCAAACCAAUGGGAAGAACAGAUGGCCCAAGAAACCAUCACAGAAGGCCAUGAAAGCUUGCAAGUUGAAGAGUGCAACAGGAAAAGCAGUUCUGUCUAUUGCAGCAAAAUCAGUGACAGGAUCUGGUGAUCUGGUCAAGGUUGCUGAACAGAUGACACAGUCAAAGCCGCCCAAGUUCUACACAGCUGAUAAGAAUAAGGAUCUGGUUUACACCAACAACCUUGGAAAAGGAUUAAUAAAAUGGCCGACAGGCCCAACAACAACAUCAAGUACAUCAUCUCCUACUAAAUUAGAGGGGGUCACAGCGGCUGAUUCUAAGGUAUCGAACACUAACAUGGUGAAUCUACUAGGUAUGAAGUCCUUUUCCACUCGAGUACUAGAAAAGGCAUGCAACAGUCAUCAGAAGCCAAGAAAACCACUGACAGUGGAUUGGGGAAGAGGAAGAUGCAAGAAAGAGUAAAUGGCUCCUUCAUUCUUGGCAAUGCCUGCUUGUUUAUUUAGCUUCUGGCUCGGAUGUGACCCUUGGGGCUGUUUAACUUAAAACACACAAAAUUAGUGAAAUAAGGUGUUUUGGGCUUGGGUUGGUGAUCCAACUUUGGACAAAGAAGACAUAUUUUGGAUCAAGUCAAGAGUCAAAUUUCAAAGUCCUAUUCAAUUGAGGGAAAAAACUGGCUUGUUAUUAUGGCUGAGUAUACUAAUACCUUUUUGUCUCAUCUCUUUACCUCAAAUGAAAUUACCUCGCUUCCCUCUUAUAGAUAA